CAGUAGCCGCGGUAAUACGAAGGGGGCUAGCGUUGUUCGGAAUUACUGGGCGUAAAGGGCGCGUAGGCGGCCAUUCAAGUUAGAUGUGAAAGCCCAGGGCUCAACCUAGGAAUUGCAUUUGAUACUGUUUGGCUUGAGUUCGGGAGAGGUGAGUGGAAUUCCCAGUGUAGAGGUGAAAUUCGUAGAUAUUGGGAAGAACACCAGUGGCGAAGGCGGCUCACUGGACCGACACUGACGCUGAGGCGCGAAAGCGUGGGGAGCAAACAGGAUUAGAUACCCGGGUAGUCCCUGUCUCUUAUAC
rnacentral:rRNA from 1 species